UAGAACCUAUAGACUGUAUCCUGUAAGAGACUGGCUAAGAUGAAAUUUAGGAAACUGAGCUUGAGGCUCAGUUUCUUCAUGAAUUGAAGUGUUUAGUGUACUUUCUCUCAUCCCAGAAGAAUACAGUGAAAGACAGAAGUCAUCAAGCCCCAGAGCUCAGCCACUGCAUGAAGAAAUCUUUCGUAGUAUGGUGAGAAGUAGCCUUUUCUGUUAGUAUGGCUGUGCAACAUGCCUCCUCUGAGGUACCUGACACCACCAAUCAGAAGAAUAUAAAAGAUUGCCUUUUGUAUAAGUGGCUCAUCAGAUUCCCUUAUACAUGUGCACACUUCAGCAGUUGAGCCAGUGAACUGACUGAAUGGAAGACUUCCCUUUAGUCAGAGAAGAGGCGGUCCGAGAGCGCUUAGGCAACACCAAUGUUCAUAAAUCCAUGGGACCCAAUGGGAUGCAUCCACGGGUGCUGAGGGAGCUGGCAGAGGUGAUUGCUGAACUGCUCUCUAUCAUCUUUGAGAGGUCUUGGAGAAUGGGGAAGGUGCCUGAAGACUGGAGGAUAGUCAGUGUCACUCUAGUCUUCAAAAAGAGCAUAAAGGAAGAUCCAGGUAAUUACAGGCCAGUCAGCCUCACCUCUGUCCCUGGAAAGGUGAUGGAACAGCUUGUGCUGGAUAGCAUCGCCAGACAACUGGAAGAAAAGGAGCUUAUCAGGAGUAGUCGGCAUGGGUUCACCACAGGAAGGUCAUGCUUGACCAACCUGGUGGCCUUCCACGAUGUUGUCACUGGCUGUGUGGAUGGGGGGAGAGCAGUGGAUGUAGUCUACCUUGAUUUCAGCAAGGCAUUUGAUACUGUUUCCCACGACAUCCUUAUAAGAAAGCUGAGGAAAUGUGGGAUAGAUGAGUGGACAGUGAGGUGGGUUGAGAACUGGCUGACUGGUAGAGCACAGAGGGUCAUCACUGGCAGUGCAGAGUCCAGUUGGAGACCUGUAACCAGUGGUGUUCCUCAGGGGUCGGUGCUGGGUCUGGUCUUGUUCAACAUCUUCAUCAAUGANNNNNNNNNNNNNNNNNNNNNNNNNNNNNNNNNNNNNN
rnacentral:lncRNA from 1 species